GUGAGGGGCUCCUCUGCCCGGCCGCCCCUACUGGGAAGUGAGGAGCCCCUCUGCCCGGCCAGACGCCCCGUCCAGGAGGGAGGUGGGGGGGUCAGCCCCCCGCCCGGCCAGCCGCCCAGUCCGGGAGGGAGGUGGGGGGUCAGCCCCCCGCCCGGCCAGCCGCCCCGUCUGGGAGGGAGGUGGGGGGAUCAGCCCCCCGCCUGGCCAGCCGCCCCAUCCGGGAGGUGAGGGGCGCCUCUGCCCGGCCGCCCCUACUGGGAAGUGAGGAGCCCCUCUGCCCGGCCAGCCGCCCCGCCCGGGAGGGAGGUGGGGGGGUCAUCCCCCCACCUGGCCAGCCGCCCCAUCCGGGAGGGAGGUGGGGGGGUCAGCCCCCUGCCCGGCCAGCCGCCCCGUCCGGGAGGGGGGAGGGGGGGUCAGCCCCCUGCCCGGCCAGCCGCCCCGUCCGGGAGGGAGGUGGGGGGGGUCAGCCCCCCGCCUGGCCAGCCGCCCCGUCCGGGAGGGAGGUGGGGGGGACAGCCCCCCGCCCAGCCAGCCGCCCUAUCCAGGAGGUGAGGGGCGCCUCUGCCCGGCCGUCCCUACUGGGAAGUGAGGAGCCCCUCUGCCUGGCCAGCCGCCCCGUCCGGGAGGGUGGUGGGG
rnacentral:lncRNA from 1 species